rnacentral:rRNA from 1 species
GUGUAGCGGUGAAAUGCGUAGAGAUCUGGAGGAAUACCGGUGGCGAAGGCGGCCCCCUGGACAAAGACUGACGCUCAGGUGCGAAAGCGUGGGGAGCAAACAGGAUUAGAUACCCUGGUAGUCCACGCUGUAAACGAUGUCGACUUGGAGGUUGUGCCCUUGAGGCGUGGCUUCCGGAGCUAACGCGUUAAGUCGACCGCCUGGGGAGUACGGCCGCAAGGUUAAAACUCAAAUGAAUUGACGGGGGCCCGCACAAGCGGUGGAGCAUGUGGUUUAAUUCGAUGCAACGCGAAGAACCUUACCUACUCUUGACAUCCAGAGAAUUCGCUAGAGAUAG